rnacentral:rRNA from 1 species
CGAACGACUCUCGGCAACGGAUAUCUCGGCUCUCGCAUCGAUGAAGAACGUAGCGAAAUGCGAUACUUGGUGUGAAUUGCAGAAUCCCGUGAACCAUCGAGUUUUUGAACGCAAGUUGCGCCCCAAGCCUUCGGGCCGAGGGCACGCCUGCCUGGGCGUCACGC